rnacentral:lncRNA from 1 species
GGGGUCACUAAUUUAAAGAAGACCAGGGGCUGGGGAUUUAGCUCAGCAGUUCAGUGGCCUGGACCCGAGUUCGAUCCCCGGUACAAAAAAUAAAUAAAUAAAGAAGACCAAUGAAUGGACACAUUGAACAAGGCCAGCUAAGCAGUGUUCAGCAGAUCUAGUGCAUACCCGGAGUGGGCAGAUUGUGGGUACAACCAGAUUUGAAGACUUAACUAAUGAAUACAACAAAGAAGUUUUAGGGCAAGAGGAGCAAGGGUUUUAAGAGAGUUUGCAAAGGAACAGAUAUAAACAUGAUCUAUAGACUUGAGAGGAAAGAGGAACGUGAGGGCAAGGAUGGACAAGGAUAGUGGACUGCAGUUGGCAAAAUGAUAGUCUGUGGAUGGACAUUUUGAUGAAACCAAGAAUUCCUGGAGCAGGAGUUCUGGAGAAGGAACCAGGGAAGUUGGAGGGAGGUGGUCAGAGUGGCAUUCUGUGAUUGCCAUGAGAACCAAGAAUGUUGCCAUGGACAUCGAAGGUAGAGUGGAACUUUAAAUUAUUGGCAGCCAUGAAGGCUGAGCAACUUUUAGACAUUAAGAUUUCACGUGGAAUACUGUUUGGGGGAGUCAGAAGAAGGAGGGAGAUAUUUCCAAGACAGAAGAAAAGAUAUAGGCCAUUGAUUAAAGAUGACUGCAUCAAAACUGAAGGGGACACAGGCCACAAAAAUCUGAGAAAAUGGAUGGGAAAGCACCUGUACAAAUUGAAAGCAUUAAAAAAUAUAAGUAAUAUUGGACUGAAACCGGUGGCAGAUAACUCCAAACAUGGAAAUGAACACUGCAGGAGACACCUUGGACGAGGUCCAAGUGACCCACUCGGGAGAUCAGAGUUAUCUACAAGGAAAGAGACUCUUACCUAUUUUCCAGCUGGGAGCUGGAUACCUUGUUACCACAAUGGAACAUCCAGCAGUUUUGGGAAGAAAAUGUCUCCAGGACAUUGGGUCAGACAAGAUGAAAAAGUAGAAAUUGGGGUCUACUCUUCCCCAGGAAACCCACGGAAUGGAAGGAGCCUAGAUGGAAUUGCCCAUGGAGGGGCGGCAAGUCCAGGGCUGACCCAAGAAAAGGACUUCGGGGAGGCAAAGUCAGACCUAUGGAGUGGGCAGGGCUGUCUGGGGCACAGGCUCAGAGCAACAGGGGAUUAG